rnacentral:rRNA from 1 species
UACGUAGGGUGCAAGCGUUGUCCGGAAUUAUUGGGCGUAAAGAGCUUGUAGGCGGUUUGUCGCGUCUGCUGUGAAAUUUCGGGGCUCAACCCCGAACUUGCAGUGGGUACGGGCAGACUAGAGUGUGGUAGGGGGAGACUGGAAUUCCUGGUGUAGCGGUGAAAUGCGCAGAUAUCAGGAGGAACACCAAUUGCGAAGGCAGCUCGCUGGGACGCUACUGACGCUGAGACGCGAAAGCGUGGGGAGCAAACAGG